GGGGGCGUGUUUGGGAUUUACUGGGUGUAAGGGUUCGUAGGCGGUGUGGCAAGUUGGGAGUGAAAUCUCUGGGCUUAACCCAGAGGCUGCUUCCAAAACUGCUGUGCUUGAGUGUAAGAGAGGCGCGUGGAAUUGCAGGUGUAGCGGUGAAAUGCGUAGAUAUCUGCAGGAACACCCGUGGCGAAAGCGGCGCGCUGGAUCACUACUGACGCUGAGGAACGAAAGCUAGGGGAGCAAACAGGAUUAGAUACCCUGGUAGUCCUAGCCCUAAACGAUCAGGACUUGGGGUGCCGCCCGUUCGGGCGUCGUCCCGGAGCUAACGCGUUAAGUCCUGCACCUGGGGAGUACGGUCGCAAGACUGAAACUCAAAGGAAUUGACGGGGGCCCGCACAAGCGGUGGAACAUGUGGUUCAAUUCGACGCUACGCGAGGAACCUUACCUGGGCUCGACAUCCCGCGAAUCCCUCCGAAAGGUGGGAGUGCCCGCAAGGAAGCGCGGAGACAGGUGGUGCAUGGCUGUCGUCAGCUCGUGUCGUGAGAUGUUGGGUUAAGUCCCGCAACGAGCGCAACCCUCACUCCUUGUUGCCACCAGGUAAUGCUGGGAACUCUAGGGGAACUGCCCCGGUCAACGGGGAGGAAGGUGGGGAUGACGUCAAGUCCGCAUGGCCUUUAUGUCCAGGGCUACACACGUGUUACAAUGCAGGGCACAAACCGUUGCCAACCCGCGAGGGGGAGCUAAUCGGAUAAAACUCUGCUCAGUUCGGAUUGCAGUCUGCAACUCGACUGCAUGAAGCCGGAAUCGCUAGUAAUGGCGUAUCAGAUCGACGCCGUGAAUACGUUCCCGGGCCUUGUACACACCGCCCGUCACAUCACGAAAGUGAGCUGUACUAGAAGUCGCCGAGCUAACCGCAAGGAGGCAGGCGCCCAAGGUAUGACUCAUGAUUGGGGUGAAGUCGUAACAAGGUAAC
rnacentral:rRNA from 1 species